AUUUGUAGCAGUUACUAGCUGCCAUCUCUCACCUGUCCCACUGUUCACCACUGCUCACCAGUUCUAAAUGCGUUUUCAGAUCCUUCAGCCCCUCACCAGACAGUGAACAAGAACAGGUUUGGUUCUUGUGUUCAUUAAAUCUGAGCAGAACACUGAGGUCCAUGACUGUCCAUUCAGGGAGCAGGACGGAGCACGUUUCAUGGCGAGUGAUGCACGCUACAAGCAGUGUGUGAGCAACAGCCAUCGGUGUGUGUGCGUGUGUGUGUGCGCUCGCGUGUGUGUCUGGAGAGAGAGAGAGAGACAUAGACCGAGCCCCUAACACGGAGCAUGCCUCUGCGUCCGGCAGCCGGCAAACAUGAGCCACCCAGCCCUCCACGGCAGGACCAGCAGCAGCAGCAGCACACACACACACACUCACACACACCCACACACUCUUACACACACGCAGCAAACGGCAGCCAGGGGGCCAGCACUGACAGCGGCAGCUCCCGGGAAGAGGACAGCGGCGUUCCCUUUCCUGUCGGUGGUCUGGCUUUCCGUCCCGGUGCAGAGCGGAGCCACAGUGCAAGAGCACCCAUGGAGGAGCCGACAGGCAACACCGUGGUGAUCCGCAUUGGAAUCCCAGACCUACAACAGACGAAAUGUAUGAAAUUCAAUGUGGAUGCACCUAUCUGGCUGUCCAAGCAGCGGAUACUGUGUACACUCAACCAGAGCCUGAAGGAUGUACUCAACUAUGGUCUAUUCCAGCCGGCUUACAACGGCAAGGCUGGCAAGUUUCUGGAUGAGGAGAGACAGCUAAGGGAAUAUCCCUUCCCAUCCAUCGCUCCUGUACCUUACCUGGAGUUCCGCUAUAAAAGACGUGUCUACACCCAGACUCACCUGGAUGAAAAGCAGCUGUCUAAGCUUCACACAAAGGCAAACCUGAAGAAGUUUAUGGAGUAUGUGCAGCAGAGGAACACUGAAAAGAUCUCAAGGUUCCUGGAAAAAGGCCUGGACCCCAACUUCCAUGAUCCAGACACAGGAGAAUGUCCUCUGACGCUGGCAGCACAGCUGGAAGGAUGUGCAGAGCUCAUCAAGGUGCUGAAGAGUGGAGGGGCACAUCUGGACUUCAGAACAAAAGAUGGCAUUACUGCCCUACACAAGGCCGUGCGCAGCAAGAACCAUACAGCGCUUAUCACGCUGUUGGACUUGGGUGCAUCACCUGACUAUAAAGACAGUAGGGGAUUGACUCCCCUCUACCACAGCUCGAUGGUUGGAGGAGACCCCUACUGCUGUGAGCUGCUGCUGCAUGAUCACGCACAGGUCGGCUGUGUGGAUGAGAAUGGCUGGCAGGAAAUACACCAGGCAUGCCGCUAUGGACAUGUGCAACACCUGGAGCACCUACUGUUUUAUGGAGCUGACAUGAGCGCCCAGAAUGCAUCUGGAAACACAGCCCUGCAUGUGUGUGCUCUCUACAACCAGGAUAGCUGUGCGAGAGUUCUCUUGUUCCGAGGGGCAAAUAAAGAGAUAAAGAACUACAACAGCCAGACCGCCUUUCAGGUGGCUAUUAUAGCAGGAAACUUUGAUCUGGCUGAAAUCAUAAAGGUCCACAAAGCAUCAGAUGUUGUGCCUUUCAGGGAGACCCCCUCCUACACCAACCGUCGACGUGCAAUGCCUGGCCCCCUGCCCUCACCACGUUCCUUGCUCCGCUCUGCUAGUGACAACAACCUGAAUGGGGACCACGAUCACAUCCACAGUCAGGCCCCCAGAGAAAUCCGUGGCCGUCAGGGUCAUUCCCCUGUCCCCUCACUGCGCAGUCUGCCAGCUCUUGGGCAGCAGCACAGCAGCCUUGGAGAGAGUCGUCAUGGAGAGAUCCCUGACAGCAGUCUCCAGAGUACAGGCAGCUCCAGAUCCUCCCAUUCCCGCUCACCUUCACUACAUCACAUGCAUGAGGAGGACAGGCCGGUUCCUAGAAGGUCCCAUAGUCAUGGCUACCCUCACGGACACGGCCACCGUGGACGACUCAGCCCCGGCUCAGUGCAGCGAGACCCAAGCCCCCCUCAUCACACCCCUCCAGCGCUGACGGGCCCCCGUGGGCCCAAACGUAAACUCUACAGUGCUGUCCCAGGACGUACCUUCAUCGUGGUCAAGCCCUACACUCCACAGGGGGAGGGAGAGAUCCAACUCAACCGUGGAGAGAGAGUCAAAGUGCUGAGUAUAGGGGAAGGAGGUUUCUGGGAAGGCACGGUCAAAGGAAGGACAGGCUGGUUCCCAGCAGACUAUGUGGAAGAAGUUCAGAUGAGGCAGUUUGACCCACGACUAGAGACUCGGGAGGACCGCACAAAGAGACUGUUCAGACACUACACUGUGGGAUCCUAUGACAACUUCACCUCAUACAGUGACUAUAUCAUAGAGGAGAAAAAUGCCGUUUUACAGAAGAAAGAAAAUGAGGGGUUUGGCUUUGUCCUGCGGGGAGCCAAAGCUGAGACGCCCAUUGAAGAGUUCACCCCCACACCAGCGUUCCCUGCCCUUCAGUACCUGGAGUCUGUGGACGUGGAGGGAGUGGCCUGGAGGGCUGGUCUGAGGACAGGAGACUUCCUCAUUGAGGUAAACGGUGUGAAUGUGGUGAAGGUGGGCCAUAAGCAGGUGGUGUCCUUGAUCCGGCAAGGGGGCAACAGGCUGCUGAUGAAGGUGGUGUCUGUCACACGUAAACCUGAGUCUGAGGAGGUCGUUCGCAAAAAAGCUCCCCCACCACCCAAGAGAGCUCCCAGUACCACCCUGACACUGCGCUCUAAGUCCAUGACCGCUGAGCUAGAAGAACUGGAGAGACUAGAUGAGAUGUUGGCAUCCCAGGAGUCUAUGUUGCGUUCUCAGCCCUCGGAGGCAGAUUACAGAGCAGCCACUGUCAAACAACGGCCCACCAGCAGGAGAAUAACACCAGCAGAGAUCAGCUCACUGUUUGAGAGACAAGGAAUGACUCUACAUGGAGGUCUUCACCCAGGCAUUGAGAGAGGUCACAUACCACUACCAAAGGGGAUGUCCAGGACCAAGUCUUUUGGUGCCACUGAGGAGGAUCGGCUGUCUGCCCUAGCAGGCGAGCACAGAUUUCCCCGCAGUUCCUCUAUGACAGACAGCCUCCGAGACCACUCACAACCCCAUCCUAUCCCUCCGCCUCCUCAAAUGGCACCUCCUCCUCCUCCCUACUACCUAGAUACUGGUCCUCCCCCAGCCUUCUGUCCCCCUCCUCCCCCAUCUAGGACCCAGAGUCAGGGCCAUGAGCCCGGAGGACGCUCCAGCUUCAAGCCCUCCUCCUUGGAUUUGCCUUAUGAGGCCGCACAGCGGCAGGCCACACAGAUCGAGAGACAGAAGAAAGCCCGCUCCAUGAUCAUCCUCCAGGACUCCUCCCAUCUACCUGUAGAACCUACAGAAAUUCCCCGUCCCUCUGCUGCUACUCCACCUGAGCGAAUUAAAAGGAAGGGUCGGGUUAUUGACAACCCUUAUGCUAAUGUGGGUCAAUUUAGCAUUGGACUAUACACACCCACCAAGCCCCAGAGGAAGAAAAGUCCCCUGGUGAAACAACUACAGGUGGAAGAUGCACAAGAAAAAGCUAGUAUAGCCUUAGCUGCUGCCCACUCCCGAGAGAGCUCACCCUCAGGACGACACCCACACGCCCAUGGGCACACACAUACCAGCCGUGCAGACUACUACCAGCAGCAGCUGAUGGCUGAGCGAGAACGUUUGCGUGCCCAGGGAGAAAUGAUGUUUCAGGGUAAGGGCCCCUUCGCUGCUGCAAUCGCUGGAGCAGUGAAAGAUCGGGAGCGUCGCCUAGAAGAACGGAGGAAAUCCACUGUCUUCCUUUCUGUUGGGACCAUGGAGGGGGCGUCAACCACCAGCUCUGACGCCCCAUCUCUGACUCAGUCUCACUCCAUCGAUGAACGGAUGCUCACCCGAGAGCUGGGACAGCUGCCCCCCCCUGCCUUGGCCCUGAGCCCCUCACCCAGUGGGACCACAUUUAUCCAUCCGCUCACAGGAAAGCCCCUUGACCCCAACUCUCCACUGGCUCUUGCGCUGGCCGCAAGGGAGAGGGCACUGACCUCCCAGAGCCAGUCCCCUACUAGCAGCCCAGAGCCUAGGACUAAACAGGAGCGGAUAGGCCAGGGCGUAAUGUUCAUUGACCCUCAGACCAAAGAGUCUCCACAUGGGGAAGGGGCAUCCACAACUCCUCCUUUUUCGCCUAAAAGCGCCAAGGCAGUGGGGCAUGGAGUUGGAUCCUCCCUGGCAUCAAUUUUAGUUCCCCAGCCAACAAAACCACAGUGGGCCACAUCACCAUCACCUGUAUCAUUCCGACAGGAGAUGGAGGCCAGAGUAGAGGAAAGGAAGGAGGAGAAGAGACUGGAGGAUAAAAAAAGUAUGUUGAUUAGUAUUAUGGAUACGUCGCAGCAGAAGACAGCAGGUCUUAUCAUGGUCCAUGCUACCAGUAAUGGCCAGGCUGUCGGGGUGGGUUCAGAACUAGAACAGGCACCUGCCCCAAAGUCCACGGAGCCCAGCAAAUCUCCAAGUCCACGGGCUAAAUCCCCGAGUCCCACAACCUCCCAGCCCCAGGCCCAGCCUCAAACUCAGCGUCCUGCAAGUCCAGCCCAAGAGAAGGGCCUGGCUCAGGGAAGCUCAGAGGAGGAUGUUGAUCCGUACACGGUAACCCUGCCUCCUGCAAUGUUGACUUCCAGUGACGAGGAAACAAGAGAGGAACUACGCAAGAUCGGAGUUGUUCCACCACCAGAUGAGUUUGCUAAUGGGCUGCUGGCACAGGCACAGGGGACGCCAGUGUCCUCAGCUAAACCUGCCUCCUCUCCCACUACUCCUACAACACCAAUACCACACACUCCCUUAACCCCAAAAACCCCAACUGUGACCCCCACGCAGCCUCAGCCUCCCCAGCCCCCACCUCCACCCAAUGCAGCAGCUGUCUCAGGGAAGCCCUCUGAUCCUCUGGAGCCCCCACCAGUGGGUGAGUCUGGCUCUGCGGCUGACUCAGGCGUGGAGGAGGCUGACACACGCAGCUCAAGUGAGAGAGAGCGAGAUCACCAUCUUGAAACCACCAGCACCGUCUCCACGGUUUCCAGCAUGUCCACGUUGUCCUCAGAAAGCGGCGAGCCUGCCGACACACAUACCACGCACACCUCCUAUGCCGACGGGCAGACUUUUGUGCUCGACAAGCCGCCAGUGCCUCCCAAGCCCAGACUCAAGUCCCAGAUAGGAGGCAGUAAAGGCCCCGUCACCUUCAGGGACCCUCUGCUGAAGCAGAGCUCUGACAGCGAGCUGCUAUCACAGCAACAGGCUGCUGCCCUGGCUGCUGCUGCAGCUGGGGGUGCUGGGCUGCCCCCAGGUGGUUCAGCCUCAGUGACUGGACUAGCCCCUACCAAGCCGCGCUACCUCUUCCAGCGCAGGUCCAAGCUGUGGGGAGACCCAGUAGAGCCUCGUGGGCCAGGGGUGGGGCUAGGUAUUGGGAGUUUGGGCAAUCUUGGUGGGCUGGGACUGGGGCUGGGUGCAGAUGAGGGAGCAAAACCAUCUGUUAUGGGGGAGCUCAGCUCCCGACUACAGCAGCUAAAUAAAGACACAAGGUCGUUGGGAGAGGAACCACUGGGAGCAUCACUUGACCCUGGCAGGAAGUCACCUGUGGCAGGUGCCAGACUUUUCAGCAGCCUAGGCGAGCUCCACACCAUUUCUCAGAGAAGUUAUGGCACUACAUUCACAAUCCGCCCUGGCAGCCGUUACCCCGUCACCCGACGCACCCAAAGCCCAGGUUCAGGCUCACCUGAUCGGGGCGACCCUCUCGGACGGUUCUCAAGCUACGGCCUACCGACCUCGCCAACUACACCACCACAAACCAUCCUCAAAUCCUCCAGCCUCAGCCUACCCCAGGAGCCUAAAGAGGUCCGCUUUGUAAUGAGGAGCUCCAGCGCCCGCUCCCGCUCUCGCUCCCCAUCACCAUCACCUUCCCAUUCCCCUGGGCUGGGGUCACCACUUUUAGCCCUACGGCCGUUCCACCAGAAGCCCCUCCACCUCUGGAAUAAAUACGACGUCGGAGACUGGCUGGAGAGUAUCAACCUGGGGGAGCACCGAGCAGGGUUUCAGGAACAUGAGAUCGAAGGCUCCCACCUCCCAGCUCUAACCAAGGAUGACUUUGCAGAGCUGGGAGUGACGCGAGUCGGACACCGCAUGAACAUUGAACGAGCACUAAAACUGCUGCUAGAGAGCUGACCCCUGCCCUGAGACACAGCAACAGAUGGAUAGAAAGAUAAAGAACGGGCAAGACAUGGAGUUGAUGAAAGAGAAAAGACAGGAACCGCUCCUCUUUUACUCUGGCUGCUUUUUAUGUUCGGCAUCACAAAUGUUUACCUGUUGUCCUUAGCGACACAUCGCGUUCCCGUUCUGCAUUAUUCCCCUGCACUUGGCACUGCACUGAAGAGGAGGAGUCAAUACAUUCAUCCCCCUCGACUCGGCCCUAAGUGUCAGCCCACCUCCUUGCCUGCAGCCAAUUAGAUCGGACUUCAAAAUGGGCUUUGGUCUUUCUUUGCCGAGGAGAAUCGCAUGAGCUCCAAUUAAAACAUUUGAUUUGUGAACGCUUCAGUUGUUCCCUUAGUAACGCCCACAUGCUCUCUCUCACUAUUCCCUCCUCUCCUCUCUACCUCUAUCCCUCCAUCUAUUAGGCCUCUGGAAGCCUUUUGCAGUUUGAGUAAAGGAGGAGGAGGAAGAACUUUUCCUUUCCAAACAGAAAGCUCAGUUGCCUUUCAAAAUAUUUAUACAGAGAUCAACAACGAUGGACACAGGACUAUGGACAUAGUGCUGACACAGCUCUGAAACGGUGUGUCUGCUCUAUACCUGCUGUUGUUUUUAAACCGAAGACUUUAAAGCCCAGAGGUGGAGCUCCACAAAGUAAACCACAGGAGAAACCCCUCCGCCUUGGGCAUCCCAUAAUGUGAGGCUGAGACCCCAGUUGACACCCAUCCCUACUGCUUCAGCUACAGACCUCACUGACGUGGUUCAGACUCUUUCCACGACGACACACAGUAAGGACCGCGUACCGAGACAGCUUAAUUGGUAAACGGGGCUCUUCAUCUUUUGCCUGCAGAUCACUCAGGGAUGGAAGUUUGGGGCACUAGCAUGGAGAGGUUGUUGGCUGUUGUUACAAUACCAUCCAUCAAAAUUCUUACCUAUGGGGACAAUUUAAUACCACCGCAGUCUGAAAAAUGCUAGAGGGCUAGUAAAAUUUCCAUCCCUGUGACCCCCUGAUGAUGCUUCUCAGACCAGACUUUUUACCUGGCCGAUAACCAACAAAGAUUUGUCAUACAAGGGCUUUUAGGAGCGAAGCAUAAAUGAUGUGCCCUCUUAAAAUGCCACUUCAGGAAAUGUGCGUGUAGUUUAUCAGGUUGUGGGGAUGGGAAAGCCUCUGUAAGGUCUUAAAGAAAAUUCAGUAAUUUACAACCUGUCUGUGUCUUUGCAACGUCGCUGCUUCGCUGUUUCUCUACAGUUUACUUAGUGAGUAAAAUAUUAUCAUAAACGGUGGCAGCCAGAGCUCUUAGAUUAAGACCCAGGUUGUAAAAACUAAACACAACUGAAUUUUACUUUAACAAUACAAAAUCUACAAUUGUACUCAUGAGUAGCUUCUGCUGGCAGUGAGAAACAGUGAGUUUUAUUCACGCAACAAAAAACAAAGCAUUUUAUUCAUAGCUUUUUCUCAAAUAAGAGUCCAGGUAAUCUCUAUUACCACUAAAAACCUCCGCACAUCAGCAGCAUCCAGUCGGAACGCCAGGGCUCUUUCACCUGGUGAGAAGUUGUGUGCAUCUUCUUUCUUUUUUGUUCUUUUUUUGCUAAGAGUUUGUAAAAGCGGGUGGUGAAUUUAAAACGUUGUAUCUGGGUUGUAGGAAUAGCACUCACUGCCUCACUGUGACCUCACUGAUUUAUUUUACUUCUGACUCCAGUUGUUACAGUAUGUCCUCAGACUCAUUUUGGACUUUUUGGUUUCUAUUCGUUUUUUUUCUUUUUCUUUUUUUUUUUCUCUUCUCUCUUUGUUGAUUUUGUUACCCUCGGACACUGUGGGUAGAUUUUGUAGCGUGUGGAACAUGAUACUUAACUGAUACUUUCACUCAUUUGAAUUUUAGAGUGACAGAAAAAAAAGAGAAAAAAAAUUACUAUUCUGUCCAUUCUCGACGUACUUACACUUGUAAAAAUGAACAGAUUACAAAUAUUUGCUUUUUUUUUUAAAUCACAAGCAAUGUAUAUAUGAUAGAUUUCAUAUAAAUUUUUGAAAAACAAAAAGUAUAUAGAUCUAUAUAUGAAUGUUUGGCAUAUAUGCAUAGUUAACCACCUGUGAAAAAGGUGAGCAGAUUUUAUUCUUUCUAUGAACUCUUGAACUUUUGAACUCUGAACUAUGAACUAGGGGAUGAUUUGCACAAAACAAGGUGACAAGGUGCUAACAUAAAAGCCACCCAACGUCCAAGCGCAUGUGUGCAUCUGGAUUCCCUGAAUCUCUCUGUGUGAUUGUUCCUCUUCACCGUGUGUGUGUGUGACUGUGUGCGUAUGUGUGCAAGUGCUCGUUUGUUUGCAUUUUUGUGUGAGAAUACAUGUGACUGAGAGAGCGUACGGAUGGUUGAUUGUUACAUCUUUAGAGUUAGUCCACUAUAGCCUUACUGUAUUACCAUCAGAGAUUCCCGGCAGUGGCUGUGUCACACACACACAAACACGAAAUGAGAUAUACACACACACACGCACACACACAAACAAACAGAAAAAUGCACACAUACAUUCAUCUUCUAUUCCAGAUCAUUGUUCUGCAUUUUAGGUUUUGUAUCGGGUGACGCCGUCGAAAAAGUGGACUGCUCUGCCCCGAGAGGGAGAGACAGACAGGAAGAGAGAGGAGAGAGUACCACAGGGUAUGGAACGACACCAUCGUCACAUUUUAUAUAGCAAGACGACUAUGACUCACCUUGUAACUGUGUAGGUACGGCUUAUACAGUGUCACUGUUUUGUACUCCCAUUCCCAGAUGGCAUCUGCGCUCCUUACCCCCCACUCUGUCUGGCAGCACUCCUUUUUCCUUUUUCAGACCUUCAGUUUCUGAGUUUUGGAUAUGCUAUAUGAGGUGAUCCAGUGAGGAACAAACAACACAAAGGAAAAAUGUGCCAAAAAAUAACUUAACUUUUAACUGUAUAUUUGUCUUUGCUUUAGGACUAUCUUAGUUACAGCAUUCUUGAGCUGUUAGACUCAAUAAUAUGGUGCCAUCUCCUGGAAAUCUUGAGAACUACAGACAUUUGUUGUGAGAUCCUUCUGUAUUCCCUACAGGUGGAAAUGCAGUCAUUGUUAUUAUUUUGUAAAGAUGCAGGCUAUAUACAUAUGUAUAU